rnacentral:misc_RNA from 1 species
GAUGAAGAACGCAGCGAAAUGCGAUAAGUAAUGUGAAUUGCAGAAUUCAGUGAAUCAUCGAAUCUUUGAACGCACAUUGCGCCCGCCAGUAUUCUGGCGGGCAUGCCUGUUCGAGCGUCAUUACAACCCUCAGGCCCCCGGGCCUGGCGUUGGGGAUCGGCGGAGCCCCCCGUGGGCACACGCCGUCCCCCAAAUACAGUGGCGGGCCCGCCGCAGCUUCCAUCGCGUAGUAGCUAACACCUCGCGACUGGAGAGCGGCGCGGCCACGCCGUAAAACACCCAACUCUUCUGAAGUUGACCUCGAAUCAGGUAGGAAUACCCGCUGAACUUAAGCAUAUCAAUAAGCGGAGGA